rnacentral:rRNA from 1 species
UACGUAGGUGGCAAGCGUUGUCCGGAUUUACUGGGCGUAAAGAGCGCGCAGGCGGUCGGAUAAGUCGAAUGUGAAAGCCCCUGGCUCAACCAGGGAGGGUCAUUCGAUACUGUUCGACUCGAAGGCAGGAGAGGGAAGUGGAAUUCCCGGUGUAGCGGUGGAAUGCGUAGAGAUCGGGAAGAACAUCAGUGGCGAAGGCGGCCUGCUGGGCUGUUGCUGACGCUGAGGCGCGACAGCGUGGGGGAGCAAACAGG